UAGCACAAUUCAUUGUCCUGCUCUCCGUCUUGAGAGUUGUGAUAUUUCUUUUGUGCAACAACAAAAUUGGAGGUAAAUUAGCAGAGUGGCUCAUUGGUGCCGCCUCUGCCAGUCCCCUUCACACAGGA